CCUACGGGAGGCAGCAGUAGGGAAUCUUCCGCAAUGGACGAAAGUCUGACGGAGCAACGCCGCGUGAGUGAUGAAGGUUUUCGGAUCGUAAAGCUCUGUUGCCAGGGAAGAACAACUAGGAGAGUAACUGCUCUUAGUGUGACGGUACCUGAGAAGAAAGCCCCGGCUAACUACGUGCCAGCAGCCGCGGUAAUACGUAGGGGGCAAGCGUUGUCCGGAAUUAUUGGGCGUAAAGCGCGCGCAGGCGGCUUUGUAAGUCUGGUGUUUAAGCUCGGGGCUCAACCCCGAUACGCAUCGGAAACUGCGAGGCUUGAGUGCAGAAGAGGAAAGUGGAAUUCCACGUGUAGCGGUGAAAUGCGUAGAGAUGUGGAGGAACACCAGUGGCGAAGGCGACUUUCUGGGCUGUAACUGACGCUGAGCGCGAAGNGUGGGAGCAACAGAUAGAUACCUGUAGUCACGCGUAACGAUGA
rnacentral:rRNA from 1 species